rnacentral:rRNA from 1 species
GAGUUUGAUCCUGGCUCAGGAUGAACGCUGGCGGCGUGCUUAACACAUGCAAGUCGAACGGGAAACCUUUUAUUGAAGCUUCGGCAGAUUUAGCUGGUUUUUAGUGGCGGACGGGUGAGUAACGCGUGGGUAACCUGCCUUAUACAGGGGGAUAACAGUCAGAAAUGACUGCUAAUACCGCAUAAGCGCACAGGACCGCAUGGUCCGGUGUGAAAAACUCCGGUGGUAUAAGAUGGACCCGCGUUGGAUUAGCUUGUUGGUGAGGUAACGGCUCACCAAGGCGACGAUCCAUAGCCGGCCUGAGAGGGUGAACGGUCACAUUGGGACUGAGACACGGCCCAGACUCCUACGGGAGGCAGCAGUGGGGAAUAUUGCACAAUGGGGGAAACCCUGAUGCAGCGACGCCGCGUGAAGGAAGAAGUAUCUCGGUAUGUAAACUUCUAUCAGCAGGGAAGAUAGUGACGGUACCUGACUAAGAAGCCCCGGCUAACUACGUGCCAGCCGCCGCGGUAAUUC